rnacentral:rRNA from 1 species
GGACAAUGGGCGAAAGCCUGAUCCCGCCAUGCCGCGUGUGUGAAGAAGGUCUUCGGAUUGUAAAGCACUUUAAGUUGGGAGGAAGGGCAUUAACCUAAUACGUUAGUGUUUUGACGUUACCGACAGAAUAAGCACCGGCUAACUC